AGCAGCCGCGGUAAUUCCAGCUCCAAUAGCGUAUAUUAAAGUUGUUGCAGUUAAAAAGCUCGUAGUUGAAUUUCGGGGUUAGUAGGUUGGUCGUGCCUUUGGUAUGUACUGGUCUCACUGAUUCCUCCUUCUUGAAGAACUGUAAUGUCAUUAAUUUGGUGUUGCAGGGAAACAGGACUGUUACUUUGAAAAAAUUAGAGUGUUUAAAGCAGGCUAACGCCUGAAUACAUUAGCAUGGAAUAAUGAAAUAGGACGUUUGAUCCUAUUUUGUUGGUUUCUAGGAUUGACGUAAUGAUUAAUAGGGAUAGUUGGGGGCAUUAGUAUUCAAUUGUCAGAGGUGAAAUUCUUGGAUUUAUUGAAGACUAACUACUGCGAAAGCAUUUGCCAAGGAUGUUUUCAUUAAUCAAGAACGAAAGUUAGGGGAUCGAAGACGAUCAGAUACCGUCGUAGUCUUAACCAUAAACUAUGCCGACUAGGGAUCGGAUGAUGUAAUUUUUAAUGACUCAUUCGGCGCCUUACG
rnacentral:rRNA from 1 species